AAAAAGGGUUCCCCACGCUUUGCAUCUCCAUAUAUAUACAUCUGCAAAGAAGAGAUAAAAUGGAUGAGAAACUAUAUGUCAUAUAUACAUAUGCAAGGAGAAAGAGAGAAAGAGAGAGGAGCUCCCUUCAAUCCAAGCACGAGGGAAAGAUGAUGGUGGGUUCAUCUCCCGGGUCAUGCACACCCAUGCAAGUGCAGCUAGGAGCACAUGAGCUAGCUAUGGAGUUGUGAUGAGGAGUACAACGAUGGCCGGGUUGGUGGCCUUAUAUAGAGCUCAUGAGCCAAUCUGAGCCGUUGGUUCAUCAUCACAUUCGUGGCCCCCUCCAUCUCAUAUGUGGACAGAGAAAACAUGCAUGCCUUGCCUUGAUUUGGUUUAGUUUGGCUAUUGUGAGGUUAGCAUGCAUGGAAACUGACGCAACAACUCUCUUUAUUCCUU